AAGAGUUAUGGCCGGUGCGCUUAAACCAAAUACUGUGGAUUCACUAUUAUUUGUUGGGUACCAAUUGUCGUGUGUUUCAUGGGUUCAGGUGAACCAAGAAUUCAAAUGUUCAACUAAUAACUUAUUUUCUGUAGACUUUGUAUACAGAGAUUGGCAAAACCACGAAAUCAAAUAGCCACGAAAAGACCAGUUUUCAGCAAUC
rnacentral:lncRNA from 1 species